rnacentral:rRNA from 1 species
UUAAAAAGCUCGUAGUUGAAUUUCGGAAUUUGUCGGUUGGUCGGGCUUCACUGUCCGCACUGGCCUGAUGGGUUCCUACCUUCUGAAUAACCAGCAUGCUAUUAAUUUAGUGCGUUGGGGAAGCAGAGCUAUUACCUUGAAAAAAUUAGAGUGCUUAAAGCAGGCUCACGCUUGAAUAGAUUAGCAUGGAAUAAUAAAAUAGGACGGCCUGGUUCUAUUUUGUUGGUUUCUAGGAUCACCGUAAUGAUUAAUAGGGAUAGUUGGGGG